rnacentral:snoRNA from 1 species
CCCCUCUCAGGGUCGCACCUGGAGACUUUCCAGUACUCUACCGGUCCUGACUAAGGGAGGGAGAGUCAAGCAGAGGUAUAUCCAUUCCAUUCCUAGUUUGGGCAGUGGCUAGCAAGUGGAAGGCAAUCUGCUACAAGU